rnacentral:rRNA from 1 species
GUAGGUGGCAAGCGUUGUCCGGAAUUAUUGGGCGUAAAGCGCGCGCAGGCGGUUCUUUAAGUCUGAUGUGAAAGCCCACGGCUCAACCGUGGAGGGUCAUUGGAAACUGGAGAACUUGAGUACAGAAGAGGAAAGCGGAAUUCCACGUGUAGCGGUGAAAUGCGUAGAGAUGUGGAGGAACACCAGUGGCGAAGGCGGCUUUCUGGUCUGUAACUGACGCUGAGGCGCGAAAGCGUGGGGAGCAAACAGGGAUUAGAUACCCUGAUAGUCCACGCCGUAAACGAUGAGUGCUAAGUGUUAGGGGGGUUUCCGCCCCCCUUAGUGCUGCAGCUAACGCAUUAAGCACUCCGCCUGGGAGUACGGCCGCAAGGCUG